GACGAACUUUGGCGGCGUGCUUAACACAUGCAAGUCGAACGGAAAGGCCCUGCUUUUGUGGGGUGCUCGAGUGGCGAACGGGUGAGUAACACGUGAGUAACCUGCCCUUGACUUUGGGAUAACUUCAGGAAACUGGGGCUAAUACCGGAUAGGAGCUCCUGCUGCAUGGUGGGGGUUGGAAAGUUUCGGCGGUUGGGGAUGGACUCGCGGCUUAUCAGCUUGUUGGUGGGGUAGUGGCUUACCAAGGCUUUGACGGGUAGCCGGCCUGAGAGGGUGACCGGCCACAUUGGGACUGAGAUACGGCCCAGACUCCUACGGGAGGCAGCAGUGGGGAAUAUUGCACAAUGGGCGGAAGCCUGAUGCAGCAACGCCGCGUGCGGGAUGACGGCCUUCGGGUUGUAAACCGCUUUCGCCUGUGACGAAGCGUGAGUGACGGUAAUGGGUAAAGAAGCACCGGCUAACUACGUGCCAGCAGCCGCGGUGAUACGUAGGGUGCGAGCGUUGUCCGGAUUUAUUGGGCGUAAAGGGCUCGUAGGUGGUUGAUCGCGUCGGAAGUGUAAUCUUGGGGCUUAACCCUGAGCGUGCUUUCGAUACGGGUUGACUUGAGGAAGGUAGGGGAGAAUGGAAUUCCUGGUGGAGCGGUGGAAUGCGCAGAUAUCAGGAGGAACACCAGGGGCGAAGGCGGUUCUCUGGGCCUUUCCUGACGCUGAGGAGCGAAAGCGUGGGGAGCGAACAGGCUUAGAUACCCUGGUAGUCCACGCUGUAAACGGUGGGUACUAGGUGUGGGGUCCAUUCCACGGGUUCCGUGCCGUAGCUAACGCUUUAAGUACCCCGCCUGGGGAGUACGGCCGCAAGGCUAAAACUCAAAGGAAUUGACGGGGCCCCGCACGAGCGGCGGAGCAUGCGGAUUAAUUCGAUGCAACGCGUAGAACCUUACCUGGGUUUGACAUGGAUCGGGAGUGCUCAGAGAUGGGUGUGCCUCUUUUGGGGUCGGUUCACAGGUGGUGCAUGCCUGUCGUCAGCUCGUGUCGUGAGAUGUUGGGUUAAGUCCCGCAACGAGCGCAACCCUUGUUCACUGUUGCCAGCACGUUAUGGUGGGGACUCAGUGGAGACCGCCGGGGUCAACUCGGAGGAAGGUGGGGAUGACGUCAAGUCAUCAUGCCCCUUAUGUCCAGGGCUUCACGCAUGCUACAAUGGCUGGUACAGAGAGUGGCGAGCCUGUGAGGGUGAGCGAAUCUCGGAAAGCCGGUCUCAGUUCGGAUUGGGGUCUGCAACUCGACCUCAUGAAGUCGGAGUCGCUAGUAAUCGCAGAUCAGCAACGCUGCGGUGAAUACGUUCCCGGGGCU
rnacentral:rRNA from 1 species